UACGUAGGUGGCAAGCGUUGUCCGGAUUUACUGGGCGUAAAGAGCGCGCAGGCGGUCGUUCAAGUCGCGUGUGAAAGCCCCCGGCUCAACUGGGGAGGGUCACGCGAUACUGAUCGACUCGAAGGCAGGAGAGGGUAGUGGAAUUCCCGGUGUAGUGGUGAAAUGCGCAGAUAUCAGGAGGAACACCGGUGGCGAAGGCGGGUCUCUGGGCCGAUAUUGACGCUGAGGAGCGAAAGCGUGGGGAGCGAACAGG
rnacentral:rRNA from 1 species